UAGGGAAUCUUCCGCAAUGGACGCAAGUCUGACGGAGCAACGCCGCGGGAGUGAAGAAGGAUCUCGGUUCGUAAAACUCUGUUGUUAGAGAAGAACAGCGCAUAGAGUAACUGUUAUGCGUGUGACGGUAUCUAACCAGAAAGCCACGGCUAACUACGUGCCAGCAGCCGCGGUAAUACGUAGGUCCCGAGCGUUGUCCGGAUUUAUUGGGCGUAAAGCGAGCGCAGGCGGUUAGAAAAGUCUGAAGUGAAAGGCAGUGGCUCAACCAUUGUAGGCUUUGGAAACUGUUUAACUUGAGUGCAGAAGGGGAGGGUGGAAUUCCAUGUGUGGCGGUGAAAUGCGUAGAUAUAUGGAGGAACCCCGGUGGCGAAGGCGACUCUCUGGUCUGUAACUGACGCUGAGGCUCGAAAGCGUGGGUAGCAAACGGG
rnacentral:rRNA from 1 species